rnacentral:rRNA from 1 species
CCUACGGGAGGCUGCAGUGAGGAAUAUUGGUCAAUGGGCGGGAGCCUGAACCAGCCAAGUCGCGUGAGGGACUACGGCCCUAUGGGUUGUACACCUCUUUUGGCGGGGAGCAAUGCCGGGCACGCGUGCCGGGAGGGAGCGUACCCGCAGAAUAAGCAUCGGCUAACUCCGUGCCAGCAGCCGCGGUAAUACGGAGGAUGCGAGCGUUAUCCGGAUUUAUUGGGUUUAAAGGGUGCGUAGCGGGGUUUUUAAGUCAGGUGGGAAAUUUUGCGGCUCAACCGCGGCAUUGCAGUUGAUACUGGGAGCUUUGAGUGCAGUUGAGGUAUGCGGAAUGCGUGGUGUAGCGGUGAAAUGCUUAGAUAUCACGAAGAACUCCGAUUGCGAAGGCAGCAUACCAAGCUGCCACUGACGUUGAGGCACGAAAGUGUGGGGAUCGAACAGGAUUAGAUACCCGAGUAGUC